rnacentral:rRNA from 1 species
AACGAACGCUGGCGGCAGGCUUAACACAUGCAAGUCGAACGCAUCCUUCGGGAUGAGUGGCAGACGGGUGAGUAACGCGUGGGAACGUGCCCUUCAGUUCGGAAUAACCCAGGGAAACUUGGGCUAAUACCGGAUACGUGCGAGAGCAGAAAGAUUGAUCGCUGAAGGAGCGGCCCGCGUCUGAUUAGCUAGUUGGUGAGGUAACGGCUCACCAAGGCGACGAUCAGUAGCUGGUCUGAGAGGAUGAUCAGCCACACUGGGACUGAGACACGGCCCAGACUCCUACGGGAGGCAGCAGUGGGGAAUAUUGGACAAUGGGCGCAAGCCUGAUCCAGCCAUGCCGCGUGAGUGAUGAAGGCCUUAGGGUUGUAAAGCUCUUUCGCACGCGACGAUAAUGACGGUAGCGUGAGAGAAGCCCGGCUAACUUCGUGCCAGCAGCCGCCG